rnacentral:tRNA from 1 species
GGGCGAUUGGUCUAGUGGUAUGAUGCAUCAUUCGCAUGAUAGAUUUUAUAUAUAUCCAGCUCUUUGCUGGUUAAGAUCGUCACCAUUUGAUGAGGUCCCGGUUUCGAUUACCGGAUCGUCCA